AAGCCUGAUCCAGCAAUGCCGCGUGUGUGAAGAAGGCCUGCGGGUUGUAAAGCACUUUUAUCAGGAAAGAAAAUCACAGGGCUAAUACCCCUGUGCCUUGACGGUACUUGAUGAAUAAGCACCGGCUAACUCCGUGCCAGCAGCCGCGGUAAUA
rnacentral:rRNA from 1 species